UUUUUUUUUUGGUUUUUGAGACAGGGUUUCUCUGUGUAGCCCUGGCUGUCCUGGAACUCACUCUAUAGACCAGGCUGGCCUCCAACUCAGAAAUCCGCCUAUCUCUGCCUCCUUAGUGCUGGGAUUAAAGGCGUGCGCCACCACUGCCCAGCACGAUGCAACUUCUUAGCCAGGCUACACUUGUGACCUCCCCAAGUUACUCUCUAAGGGCUUUCCAGGCCUCGGUUUAUUAAUUCUUAUAGAAGCCAUCUCUUGGCAACUACAAUUUACAGGUGAAUUCAGGUGUGUUCAAAUGAAAUCAUCUGUAAGUAUUUUGAACCCCAAAAGUUAGCCUCAACCUCGUUUGUCGAGACUUUAGUCAACAACAUCAUACCUCCAUUUGAGACUGGUCACAACAGCCAGUGCAGAAAACACCAAUGUGGUCCCUGGAUCUGGAGCUACAGGGCAUACAUACAGCUUUAUUGUGACUCCAUUUGGCAGGUUCUCAAAGGCUAAGGGUCCCUAGUUGCUGGCGGUGGUGGUGCACACCUUUAGUCUCAGCAGAGGCAGGCAGAUCUCUAAGUUUGAGGCCAGCCUGGUUUACACAGUGAAUUCCAGGACAGGAGUGGCUACACAGAGAAACCAUGCCUUAAACACACACACACACACACGUCCCUUGCUGGAAGAAGGAGCAGCUAGCUGGCAAGCAAAACAGCGGUUUCCAACAGCUCUGCAUUGCCCCAGAGUUUCAGGGAACAGGCAUGGGAACACACCAGGAAGCAAGGGAGAAAUAUACUGAGACACAGGGACAACGGCAGUGGUGAGGUAAGCAGUGGGAAAAGUCAAGAGUGGGAGACAGAAAAGAGUCAGCACAGGGGUGUGAGCAAACAGACGCAGAUAUGAGACCCUUUCACUCAAAGGAACAUUCUAGAACCCAACCUAACUGCCUGCCCAGGCCCAAGCCCAAACAGUUCCAGCUCUUUCCCAGGUGAGUUGAGACAUCAGUUCUCAGGCUCAGGAUCUACAGCAGCUGCAGGGAACAGAGCCACCACACGAGUCUUCUACCGUUACCAGUACCAUGAUGAUCGCGACUGAAACACUUCCUCAGGUUAGAAUGAGGGUGCCAGACCCUCGAGAUCCUGUCCCUACACUUCACAUGGCCACCUGUUAUAGUUUGAAUAUGCUUGGCCCAGGAAGUGGCACUAUUCGGAGGUGUGGCCUUGUUGGAGUAGGUGUGUCACUGUGGGUGUGGGCUUUAAGAAACCUUGUCCUAGCUGCUUGGAAGUUGAUCUUCCACUAGCAGCCUUCAGAUGAAGAUGUAGAACUCCCAGCUUCUCCUGCACCAUGCUUGACUGGAUGCUACCAUGUUCCCACCUUGAUGAUAAUGGAUGGGACCUCUGAACCUGUAAGCCAGCCCAAAUUAAAUAUUGUCCUCAUAAGAGCUGCCUUAACACCCUAACUACGACACCACCCUUCCCUCUACCCAAGCCUGAGCUUAGGGAACUUGGUUCCAAACUCCCCCCGCCCUAGGAAAACAUCCCUGGUCUGGCUAUGUGUGCCCACUUGAAGACCAUUACCUUCCUCUCGGGGGAACCUGGUAAGCAAGAACUCAAUGGUUACAAGCAGUCACCAUUGACAUCGGUUUGGAGAAGGACAGCGUCCACCUUAAUAAGUACUGAUUAAGCCAGACUCUCCUGCAGGCAGACAUGGUGGCUCACCAGACUUCCGUCUAUCACCUUGGUGUGUGAACAGAGUGUAGACGGAAGACAGAUGCCACUCUGGGCAGGCAGGAGAUCUGUAUACCGGCUGUUCAAGGGAAGCUUCUACCAACCUUCCAUCCCCUUCUGGGGUAUCACAGGUGGAUCAGGCAGCCGGCCUUGGAUUUAAAUGGCUGCUGAGUUCCUCUGCAGCCCCGCUUACCUUUGCUUCCCGGUCUCAAUGAUGCCCUUAGGAAAACACAGGAAGGGAAGCCCUGCCUUCAAAACCCCAUCUCUCCCCAUUCUCCUGAGGAUGGCUCAUUCAGAACAAAUGUUCUGGGGAACCUGGAACUACUGUCCCGGGUUAUAACGGGGCAGGAGAGGCCAGCAUCUGCCAUCAGCAAUAGAAAGGCAAUAAGCGGCUUAUAUUCAGGCCAAGCAACCAGGGACGGAUGUGGACAUGGAUGGAACACAGUGACCCACAAACCCCACCGGCGGGGUGAUUUCUGGGACCUGAGAGGUCCAGGAACAACAGAGUCACAUGGAGUCUCAUCCACAACCCCGGUGCUCAGAAUGCAGACCACAAGCCCCUUGGCACAUCUGCCUCCCUUUCUGCAGUUGCUGUAGAGACGACCUCACGAAUUCCAUAAGCGCCCUGCCCCACCCCCACCCCCACCCCCUGGCCGCUGGGGCUGCUGACUGGCCAACUACAAGCUGCAUUGGACCCAAGGGUGCGGGGUCACAACCCUCAGGUUGAGAACUGCUACUCUAGAGGAAGACCCAAGGAAGACAUUCGAAUGUCUCCAGAGGAAGGACCAGGGGCUUCUUCACAGUGAAGGGAUUAAAAGAAGAUCCUGGGAUUCGAGAGGGGUGAAGAACUCUGGUGAUAGAAGCUGGAUCACAGGUUAUGCGUUCAAGAAGAGAAGGAACCCCACAGUGGCAGCCCUCCCUCACAAGCUCGGAAGAAGGUAGACAGCCCAGCCUUUCCUGCAGGUACACAGCAGUCCUCUCUUCCAACCCUCAACGUGCUACUGGCCCGAGGAGGCGCACGAAACCUGAGUGGACCCGGGGCUUAGCAAUAUGCAGGCAGCGUGCCCCGCGUCCCUCCUCAGGAUAGGCUGGAAAGAGCCUUAACCAUGUGUCUGCAGGAGGCUGGCAAAUCAGAACGCCUCCCCGUACAUCAGAGCCCCGCUGCCUAGCAACCCCAUCGGAGGGGUGUAGUUGACAGCCCAGGACUGUCACGAAGCUGGCACUAGGGCUGCUUAAGUCCUGACUGGGGCUCUACACCCUGACGGCCCGCAAUCCCCCCCCCCCAAGGCGAUGCAAACAGGUCCCCUGACUUAAGAUCCGGAGAAAUCUUCCCUCUAAAGAAUGGGGGGGGGGGGUCCUGAAGCCCUACCCUACCCCCACCCUCAUGGACCACACUGGCCUCUUUCCUCUAAGCUCCAUUUCAAAAUAUUAGUCCUCAUUUCCCUAAAACCAGCUCUUCCUCUCGUUUUUUUAUUUUAUUUUUUUCUUUUUUAAUCUAACCUCGGUUCCCACCCCCUCCAGGCCUCAGCGGAACACAGACUAGAGAAAACAAUUUAAGUCUGUGGGGUGGAGCAAAGAGAACGUGCUUCCUUCAGCCUGCAGCUGGAUGCUCGGGAGGGGGUACCUGCAGCAGGAAAGAUGGACUAGGGUUGGGGGUGUCCAGUUCUAGGAGCCCUGGGACUGCUUAGUCAAACCGGUCACUCCCACUAGCCCAUCUCUCAGUCCUCUGAUCCAACCCUUCACAAGGGAAAACUGGGUUCCUCUGGCUCUGUGCGCAGGGAAAGUUCUCCGAGUGUAGCCCGCGCCUGAUCUGUCCUCACUCAGUCAGGGGCCCGCUGUGUGCUACAACACUACUUCCAGACCAGCCAGCCUCCUCUAAGUCCAAAGGCAAUCGUAGGUUUUGCCACCCCAAGGCUCCCACCCGCGCUGACUUGGGGCUCCCUCCUCGCUCCUGCUCGCUCUGGCAUGCCGCCUUUGCACUGACCUCUA